rnacentral:rRNA from 1 species
UAGGGAAUCUUCCGCAAUGGGCGAAAGCCUGACGGAGAAACGCCGCGUGAGUGAUGAAGGUCGUCGGAUCGUAAAACUCUGUUAUUAGGGAAGAACAAAUGUGUAAGUAACUAUGCACGUCUUGACGGUACCUAAUCAGAAAGCCACGGCUAACGACGUGCCAGCAGCCGAGGUAAUACGUAGGUGGCAAGCGUUAUCCGGAAUUAUGGGGCGUAAAGCGCGCGUAGGCGGUUUUUUAAGUCUGAUGUGAAAGCCCACGGCUCAACCGUGGAGGGUCAUUGGAAACUGGAAAACUUGAGUGCGGAAGAGGAAAGUGGAAUUCCAUGUGUAGCGUUGAAAUGCGCAGAAAUAUGGAGGAACACCAGUGGCGAAAGCGACUUUCUGGUCUGUAACUGACGCUGAUGUGCGAAAGCGUGGGGAUCAAACAGG